AGAAACGGUCCACAAUUGGGAAGGCUAACCGCUCAAACCUACCUUAUGUUCACAAGAAGGGAACAAAGUCAUUUGUAGCGGUUCAACAUGAAUUAAAUUGUGGCGAUAUCAGACUAUACAAGGAGUGUUACUCUAGUGAUAAGAAGGGAUGGGCAUCAGAAGAUGCCAGGAAUAAACAUGAAGAAAUGUUGCAGAAGCAAAAGGAACCCAUAGAGGAGGGUGAAGUACCUUUAACAGAGCAACAGAUUUGCGAGCAUGUGCUUGGUAAGGCAUAUGGUUACAUCAGAGGUCGGGGUCAUGGACCAAAACCAAAUAGAAGGGCUUACUCAAGCGCAUCAAGCUCAACUCAGCAUGUAGUGGAAGAAUUGGCCUCUACAAAGGAGAUUGUUGCUACACAACAAACUCAA